rnacentral:rRNA from 1 species
AUUGAACGCUGGCGGCAGGCCUAACACAUGCAAGUCGAGCGGAGCGGCGGACGGGGGAGUAAUGCCUAGGAAUCUGCCUGGUAGCGGGGGAUAACGUCCGGUAAUGGGCGCUAAUACCGCAUACUAUCAGAUGAGCCUAAGUCGGAUUGGCUAGUUGGGGGGGUAAAGGCCUACCAAGGCGACGAUCCGGAACUGGUCUGAGAGGGUGAUCAGUCACACUGGAACUGAGACACGGUCCAGACUCCUACGGGAGGCAGCAGUGGGGAAUAUUGGACAAUGGGCGAAAGCCUGAUCCAGCCAUGCCGCGUGUAUGAAGAAGGUCUUCGGAUUGUAAAGCACUUUCAGUUGGGAGGCGUUACCAGCAGAAUAAGCACCGGCUAACUUCGUGCCAGCAGCCGCGGUAAUAC